rnacentral:rRNA from 1 species
GAUGAACGCUGGCGGCGUGCCUAAUACAUGCAAGUCGAGCGAACAGACGAGGAGCUUGCUCCUCUGACGUUAGCGGCGGACGGGUGAGUAACACGUGGAUAACCUACCUAUAAGACUGGGAUAACUUCGGGAAACCGGAGCUAAUACCGGAUAAUAUAUUGAACCGCAUGGUUCAAUAGUGAAAGACGGUUUUGCUGUUACUUAUAGAUGGAUCCGCGCCGCAGUAGCUAGUUGGUAAGGUAACGGCUUACCAAGGCAACGAUGCGUAGCCGACCUGAGAGGGUGAUCGGCCACACUGGAACUGAGACACGGUCCAGACUCCUACGGGAGGCAGCAGUAGGGAAUCUUCCGCAAUGGGCGAAAGCUUGACGGAGCAACGCCGCGUGAGUGAUGAAGGUCUUCGGAUCGUAAAACUCUGUUAUUAGGGAAGAACAAAUGUGUAAGUAACUAUGCACGUCUUGACGGUACCUAAUCAGAAAGCCACGGCUAACUACGUG